AUCUCUGCUACUCUGCUCCUGAGGUCCCCUAUGGAGCUGUCAGCAAAACACAAGAUAGAAAGCAGAUUAAAUUGCUUUUUUGUUUUGUUUUGUUUGUUCCUUGAUCUCGUAGAGACAAUUGUGAGCCACACCUCACAGCAGAGCCAAACCUCUCUCUGGAUCCCAUUUAUGAAUUUUAGAAAUAUGGCGCUUACAGACACCUCUAAACGGAAUAAGGGUUCCUCACACCUGUGUCUUUUCAUGUAAAACAGCACUAGAGGAGAACUGGCUUCAUCCCCAUUACUGUGAAGAAACCAACCAGCCCAGGUGAGUCCACAGGGCGCCAGGGACUGGACUUUCAUGCUGGGACAUGUGGGGUUUACAUUCAUGCUUUGGUGGGACAGGUUUGUGUCCUACCAUCAAUGUGCUUUUGAGCUGGCUGGGUUUGAGGAAAGCGACUCUUGAUACAACUCAUCAGGAAGAUGUAUGAAUGUCAUGAGCCCCAGGUGUGGGGAAGGGCUUUCUUAAGGGCUUGGAGUGUUGAUUCCAUUGGAGAGCAGCUGUAGGUGUAAACAGGUGAUUUAGGAUAAGUAAUUCAUUUCAAAUAAGCCACUACAUCAGAGAGGGAUCUCAUACCUACUCAUCUCCUGCGUUUCAGUCCCUUUUCUAGAUCUUCCUGCUCUUCCUUGUGUAUAUUUGGGAUAUUUCAGGCUGCAGAAAAGUCAGAGAGCACUUUCCCAAUUUGCACCUUACAAAGUCUUGUUUCCUCAUGCUAAUAUCUAGCAACAGGCCACUAUAUCUGCUGCAAGGCACUGCUUGUACCGUGCUCUUCAACAACACAACCUUCUGCUGCUCAGUCCCUCUGCUGCUGGCCAGGUGCCCCAGGACCCUGCAGCAGUGGUGAUGACUGAUUGUCCCGUGAAGUCACAGUAACCUUUAGCACUUCAUGGACCAUGAUUUUCAUUUCGCUUUGGCUUUGAAUUACUCAGUUUGGGACUGAGCUGAAAGGACUUGCAUCAAAGACAGUCUGAUGAGGAUGCUGUUUUGGCAAGAGGAGAGGACAGGAUUGCCCAGUGGAUGAGGAAUUGUGGAGCAGUCCUCAAGGAAACCCCAGCGAUCAGACUGAUCCAGCAGAGAGCUUUUUCUUCAUCAGUGGAACCAAAAUUCUGUGCAACUCUCUACCGUGACAGCUUUGUACAAAUGGGAAUCCAUAGCAAAAGUGAGCAUACCCUGCAACAAACUGAAGCCCAAACCAAACAAGUAAACCAACCAAACAAACAAGAAACCCACACAUUUUUCAGCACUGCGAGAGAAGAAAAGUCUCCCUGGCUGGUAAUGCCUCCAGCAGUUGGGAACUGAAAUUUGGAGCAGAGAAGGCUAAAUACAAUCCAAACCCAGGGAGUAAGUUUGGACCAUAAAUCUGCCAAGCCAUCGUGGAAUCACAGUAUGGUUUGGGUGGGAAGGGACCUUUAAAGAUCGUUGAAAACAACCCCCUGCCAUGGGCAGGGACAUCUCCAUGAGAGCAGGCUGCCCAGGGCUCCAUCCAGCGUGGCCCUAAGCACUGCCCAAGAUGGGGUGCCCACAGCUUCCCUGGACAAAAUAUUGAGCCAUCCAAGGAAGCAGAGUGAAAGAAACCUAAGGGAAAGUGCCAGCAGAGCCCUGCAAAUCAAAUCAAAGGAGAAGACAGAUUAAAUGUGUUCUGCGUUAUGCAGGCUUGGUUUCAUUCAAGUCCAUUUUGUAAGCAAGAUUUCAUGUUUCCUCUGGGUCUAAAAAUUAGAACUUGAUGGAGCUAGUCUGGGUGAGACUUGUGACUUUCUUCAUGAUUUUAUUGUGCCAAAAAUGAUCAUAAAACCGCAAGAACACCUUUUUCAGUAGAUCUGCCUUUCUGUAGAAGACCCAUUACAGCACAUGUAAUAGCAGAGCUGUACAUCAGCAAACAGACAAAACAGACCCACAGAGCUGAGCUCUGCUAUGAAAUAGGAACACAAAGGCCCUCAGCACUCUCUGCUUCACCUGAAAAGUAUUCUGGGAGCAGCCAUGCAGAAUGAGGAGCACUGAGCACCUGCAGGCCCCCCCUAAGUACAGAUCUCUGCAGACAGACCAAGGGAGGAGCAUCUCUCCUGCUCUCAGCAGGCUCAGUGAUGCUGGAUCCUACCAGGAAAUGUGCUCUGACACACAGCAGAAGCAAGGUUUGAACAUUUUUUCCUUUGUUUCUGGGGUUUUGUGUCUCAUGCCAGGAGCUGAGAGUGGUUGGAAAGUGGGGUGCUGUGCAUUUACUGGUCCACUCGGGCAGCUUCUGAUGGCUUGUGGGAAUUAUCACAUACUGCUUUUGUGGUAGCACGGCGUAAAUGUCAAAUAGUCAUAUAUUAUUUUAUAAACAGCCUUCAGAGACAGGAUUGAAAGUGGCUUCAAAGCUGUUCCCUGGGGGAUUUGGUCACUGCCUUACAGAAAAGAAAAGAACUGCUGGGCUGGGACUUUGUCACGACCAGGCAGCACCCCUGGGACUCUCACAAGCUGCUCUGAUCUAAUCCUCAUGAAGCCUGACCCUUCCUUUCAAGUGAAGCCAAAUCCAUCACCCCCUGAUUGUGCAAAACAUUAUCCACUGACAAAUGUGGUGAUAACAGUGCUAAUAGAAGCCUGACGGAUGACUGGGGCUGGAACUGCAGCUGCAGCUCUCCUGCCCAGUGACUCCUACCUGAGCUUCAGCAUCUGUGAGCAGGAACUGGGGGAGCAGUUUUUCUGGAGCUGCCCCAUACAGCUCAGCGUUUAGGCUGGUCUGUGCCAUGCCCUGCCCUCCCAGGUCUGCUAUGGGAAGGACUGCAGCCACGUGGGGCUGCCUUUUGCUGCUGAGAUCCAAGCUCUGUUGCUUUCAUCCGAUCCAGCACAAAAGGCACGAGCUUUCCCAUUAUCUUUUAUUGUUAUUGUUAUUAUCUAAAUCAUGCAAGAAAAAGCAUUCACUGACCUACUCUGCAAUAAAAUAUAAGUGGUUCUGAAGACCAUGAAGAUGGACAACUUCUUAAAAAUGCAAGGCAGAAGUGUUGCACGCUCCGUUGAGUUUUUCAUUAGGAUUUUUCUCUCCCCCUGUCUAUUUCUCACACCCACUGAAUUAUGAAUUUACAUGCAUUGUAAUGAGAAUAACUACAAUCACGAUAGAUAGAAUUAUUUUUUUUUUAAAUCCUUAUGUAAAAUGCUAUGGAACAUAAGCAAGCUGUUGAAGUUUGAUGAAAUCAGCCCCGUUUUGGUCAUACACUCGUAUUUCUUGUGGUGGGGAUGCAGAGUGGGCUGCAAUCUGAAUUCUGCAGGGAGUUGUGGUUGACAGAAAUAAACCAUGUGUUGAGGGUGCCACGUGAGCUGAACAUAAACAUGAAUUAAACCCAGCAACUGUGAAGGAACCGGGGCCACUGAAAAACUGGUGCUAAAAACAUAAAUUUAGAGCCUAAAAGAAUGGAUUGGAAGCUGGUUUAAUUGCCUCAAUAAAGGGGUAACAUGAAAAUUAUGGCUGUCAGAGCAGAUUAAAUGUACCUCAGAAAUCAGAAUACGGCGUUAAUGGGUGAUGGAUGAAUGGCAGAAGCCUGAAAGAGGCUAUUGCAUCGAUGCAGUUGUAUAGAAAAUGUGGUUUAGUGGUUAAAAAGGGUGCGGGGAAGGCAGGGGCUCUUGGUGGGGCACAGUAGCUUUUGCAUCACAAUGUGACCAUGGACUGAAGCUUCUUUGUUGGGUUUGUUGAAUGGGAGCACCUCGCUCAGUCCCUGGGUGCUGUGCAACCUUGUUAGUGGGGCUGGAAAUCAACCUGCUCUUUGAAAUGCAUCAUAUGCUAGUUAGGGUGGUCAGUGCUAACACACUGCUGUUGGCAACGGAGCACAGGCUGGGUGUUCCCACACAGCACUGACUGUAGACGUGCAUGUGGAAUAGCAGAAAGCUCACCAAGCUUUGGGCACCCGCAUUCAGCACUUAGGCUCCUUUUGCAGUCAACAAGGAAAA